UACGUAGGUGGCAAGCGUUGUCCGGAUUUACUGGGCGUAAAGAGCGCGCAGGCGGUCGUUCAAGUCGCGUGUGAAAGCCCCCGGCUUAACUGGGGAGGGUCACGCGAUACUGAUCGACUCGAAGGCAGGAGAGGGUAGUGGAAUUCCCGGUGUAGCGGUGAAAUGCGUAGAUAUCGAGAGGAACACCUGCGGCGAAGGCGGGUUGCUGGGCUGAUACUGACGCUGAGGCGCGAAAGCCAGGGGAGCGAACGGG
rnacentral:rRNA from 1 species